rnacentral:lncRNA from 1 species
AGAUUACAAGUGAUCUUCAUACUAAAAAAAAUGAGAAAGUUGAAAGAUUUGUGGAUCGUAAAUUGGAUAAAGCUGAGGAUUUGUUAAAGAAAAAAGAAGUCAAAGCGAAACGUUGGUAUAACAACUUCACUGGAGAUGAUCACUACCGAGCAACUGAAACUCACGUUUUUUUAGCGUCUUUUAUGGCGGGAAUGGCUAUUGGUCUUGUUUGCGGCAAAUAGACAAUUAGACAUCUUCCUUGAGAUCAACCCUAGGAGAUAGGGAAAAAAGGUUUCCUCUGGAGCCAGUUAAAGUGAAUGAAUGGAUUUUAAUGAUUACUCUUGUAAGCAUUAGAAAGUCACCGGAUAAUAGGUACGUACAGGAAACAGCAUGCCAAGUUACCCAAAUUUGUCUUUAUUAUCACCGCAUAGAGCUCCAUGAAGUGUUAGAUACUUACUUGACGUGCGGUUAACCGUUCUGAUAUUAUUAUAGGUUCUGUAAAUGAAUAAGCUGCCCACAACUUACAAGAGACAGGAUAGAUUAAUGUCAAUAUUUGUAAGAUUAGUUUCGUAAACGGAGCUUUGGUUCCGAAAGUCGCGCGCACUAAAAUGGGAUUAUUUAAUGUCAUUCACUUUAACAUGAUUCCUAAUUUUUAUUCCAUACUUUAAAACUAAUUACCAUGUUUUGUAUACCUAUGUUAGUUACUUAAACAUCGCUUAACUUACUAAACUAGAAGUAGAAAGUACUGAUGUCCUGCGCAUUUAGUCAGAGUUCAAUAAAUUAGGCUAACGAAUUAGUAUGGAAGACGAGAUAUUUUCUGCUUAUAUUAUAAUCCUAUUAUUUAGCAUCUGCGUAUUGUUUUUAUUGUAACAAUACGCAGAUGCUAAAAGUCAUUCAAAUUUUCACGAAAGUUGAUUUAAAAAAUAUAGCAAUGGAAAAUAAUAUAUAAUGACGCGGGGGCAAGCAUAGAUUAUAGAAAAUUGGAAGUAAGGGCCGCUAGGGCCCUGCCUUUGGAGUUGAAUAGUGUAUUUGAACUGUCCACCAGGUGAAAAGAAUAACUGUGAGCCGAAUUGUAUUUAUUUAAUACUCACAAUUUGAUAUUGCAUUAUAUUAAAACGUCCUAAUUGCCUAUUGCAAUGCGAAACAGCACAGUAUAACACGCACUAUCCUCAUUGCAAUAGGGAUGCGAAAAGAAGAACAGAUUUUAGCGUUCCAUUCUCAUCAUUCAGUCAUUUUUAUUUUGUUUGGAAUGUUUGAAAUUAACACAGAAGGUAAAAUUUCAUUCUAACCAUUUCACAUAAGUACAAGUACUUACAACUUUAAUAUUUACCCCGAUAUACCUACCUGCGAAGAAAUGUAGUGCUCUCAGAGCGCGCCAUUUAAACCUGCGAGAAUAAGCCCAAUGCGCCUAAAAAAUUAUGUAUCGAGGCGACGACUAUAGGUAGAACUGUAAAAAAGGACAAUUUCGAAUAAACUUAAGAAGUUUUGUUUUUUUACUGCAAGUAUUUAUUUAGCAGUCGGUUUGCAGUGUCUUAAUUAAUGAAUCAUUUUACGCUAAAUUCUAAGAGUAUUAAUGUAAAGUAGAAUAUGUUUUAUUAUCCUUGUUACUUAAGCAUAUUGUAUUGUUAUAAAAAUAAAAUUAUAACUAUCUUCGUAUGGUUUAUUUGUUAGA